rfam:Heligmosomoides polygyrus genome assembly, scaffold: HPBE_scaffold0001025
GCGCCGGUGGUGUAAGGCGAACAUCGCUGCCCGGAAAGCAGAAGAUGGGGUUCGAGUCCCGCCUGGCGCA